AGUGAACGCUGGCGGUAGGCCUAACACAUGCAAGUCGAACGGCAGCACAGUAAGAGCUUGCUCUUACGGGUGGCGAGUGGCGGACGGGUGAGGAAUACAUCGGAAUCUACUUUUUCGUGGGGGAUAACGUAGGGAAACUUACGCUAAUACCGCAUACGACCUACGGGUGAAAGCAGGGGAUCUUCGGACCUUGCGCGAUUGAAUGAGCCGAUGCCGGAUUAGCUAGUUGGCGGGGUAAAGGCCCACCAAGGCGACGAUCCGUAGCUGGUCCGAGAGGAUGAUCAGCCACACUGGAACUGAGACACGGUCCAGACUCCUACGGGAGGCAGCAGUGGGGAAUAUUGGACAAUGGGCGCAAGCCUGAUCCAGCCAUACCGCGUGGGUGAAGAAGGCCUUCGGGUUGUAAAGCCCUUUUGUUGGGAAAGAAAAGCAGCAGGUUAAUACCCCGCUGUUCUGACGGUACCCAAAGAAUAAGCACCGGCUAACUUCGUG
rnacentral:rRNA from 1 species